rnacentral:rRNA from 1 species
CCCUUUGGGUGUGACUGCGUACCUUUUGUAUAAUGGGUCAGCGACUUAUAUUCUGUAGCAAGGUUAACCGAAUAGGGGAGCCGGAGGGAAACCGAGUCUUAAUUGGGCGUUAAGUUGCAGGGUAUAGACCCGAAACCCGGUGAUCUAGCCAUGGGCAGGUUGAAGGUUGGGUAACACUAACUGGAGGACCGAACCGACUAAUGUUGAAAAAUUAGCGGAUGACCUGUGGCUGGGGGUGAAAGGCCAAUCAAACCGGGAGAUAGCUGGUUCUCCCCGAAAGCUAUUUAGGUAGCGCCUCGUGAAUUCAUCUCCGGGGGUAGAGCACUGUUUCGGCUAGGGGGCCAUCCCGGCUUACCAACCCGAUGCAAACUGCGAAUACCGGAGAAUGUUAUCACGGGAGACACACGGCGGGUGCUAACGUCCGUCGUGAAGAGGGAAACAACCCAGACCGCCAGCUAAGGUCCCAAAGUCAUGGUUAAGUGGGAAACGAUGUGGGAAGGCCCAGACAGCCAGGAUGUUGGCUUAGAAGCAGCCAUCAUUUAAAGAAAGCGUAAUAGCUCACUGGUCGAGUCGGCCUGCGCGGAAGAUGUAACGGGGCUAAACCAUGCACCGAAGCUGCGGCAGCGACGCUUAUGCGUUGUUGGGUAGGGGAGCGUUCUGUAAGCCUGCGAAGGUGGCCUGUGAGGGUUGCUGGAGGUAUCAGAAGUGCGAAUGCUGACAUAAGUAACGAUAAAGCGGGUGAAAAGCCCGCUCGCCGGAAGACCAAGGGUUCCUGUCCAACGUUAAUCGGGGCAGGGUGAGUCGACCCCUAAGGCGAGGCCGAAAGGCGUAGUCGAUGGGAAACGGGUUAAUAUUCCCGUACUUGGUGUUACUGCGAAGGGGGGACGGAGAAGGCUAUGUUGGCCGGGCGACGGUUGUCCCGGUUUAAGCGUGUAGGCUGGUUUUCCAGGCAAAUCCGGAAAAUCAAGGCUGAGGCGUGAUGACGAGGCACUACGGUGCUGAAGCAACAAAUGCCCUGCUUCCAGGAAAAGCCUCUAAGCAUCAGGUAACAUCAAAUCGUACCCCAAACCGACACAGGUGGUCAGGUAGAGAAUACCAAGGCGCUUGAGAGAACUCGGGUGAAGGAACUAGGCAAAAUGGUGCCGUAACUUCGGGAGAAGGCACGCUGACACGUAGGUGAAGUGAUUUACUCACGGAGCUGAAGUCAGUCGAAGAUACCAGCUGGCUGCAACUGUUUAUUAAAAACACAGCACUGUGCAAACACGAAAGUGGACGUAUACGGUGUGACGCCUGCCCGGUGCCGGAAGGUUAAUUGAUGGGGUCAGCGCAAGCGAAGCUCCUGAUCGAAGCCCCGGUAAACGGCGGCCGUAACUAUAACGGUCCUAAGGUAGCGAAAUUCCUUGUCGGGUAAGUUCCGACCUGCACGAAUGGCGUAAUGAUGGCCAGGCUGUCUCCACCCGAGACUCAGUGAAAUUGAACUCGCUGUGAAGAUGCAGUGUACCCGCGGCAAGACGGAAAGACCCCGUGAACCUUUACUAUAGCUUGACACUGAACAUUGAGCCUUGAUGUGUAGGAUAGGUGGGAGGCUUUGAAGCGUGGACGCCAGUCUGC